CUGACUGACCGAUAGUGAACCAGUACCGUGAGGGAAAGGCGAAAAGAACCCCGGCGAGGGGAGUGAAAAAGAACCUGAAACCGUGUACGUACAAGCAGUGGGAGCACCCUUUGGGGUGUGACUGCGUACCUUUUGUAUAAUGGGUCAGCGACUUAUAUUCUGUAGCAAGGUUAACCGUAUAGGGGAGCCGUAGGGAAACCGAGUCUUAACCGGGCGUUAAGUUGCAGGGUAUAGACCCGAAACCCGGUGAUCUAGCCAUGGGCAGGUUGAAGGUUGGGUAACACUAACUGGAGGACCGAACCGACUAAUGUUGAAAAAUUAGCGGAUGACCUGUGGCUGGGGGUGAAAGGCCAAUCAAACCGGGAGAUAGCUGGUUCUCCCCGAAAGCUAUUUAGGUAGCGCCUCGUGAAUUCAUCUCCGGGGGUAGAGCACUGUUUCGGCUAGGGGGCCAUCCCGGCUUACCAACCCGAUGCAAACUGCGAAUACCGGAGAAUGUUAUCACGGGAGACACACGGCGGGUGCUAACGUCCGUCGUGAAGAGGGAAACAACCCAGACCGCCAGCUAAGGUCCCAAAGUCAUGGUUAAGUGGGAAACGAUGUGGGAAGGCCCAGACAGCCAGGAUGUUGGCUUAGAAGCAGCCAUCAUUUAAAGAAAGCGUAAUAGCUCACUGGUCGAGUCGGCCUGCGCGGAAGAUGUAACGGGGCUAAACCAU
rnacentral:rRNA from 1 species